AUUGAACGCUGGCGGCAGGCCUAACACAUGCAAGUCGAGCGAGCGGCGGACGGGUGAGUAAUGUAUGGGGACUGCCCGAUAGAGGGGGAUAACUACUGGAAACGGUGGCUAAUACCGCAUACUAUCGGAUAACCCAUAUGGGAUUAGCUAGUAGGGGGGGUAAAGGCUCACCUAGGCGACGAUCUCUAGCUGGUCUGAGAGGAUGAUCAGCAACACUGGGACUGAGACACGGCCCAGAUUCCUACGGAGGCAGCAGUGGGGAAUAUUGCCCAAGGGGGGCAAGCCUGAUGCAGCCAUGCGGCGUGUAUGAGGAAGGCCUUAGGGUUGUAAAGUACGUUCAGCGGGGAGGCGUUACCCGAAGAGGAAGCACCGGCUAACUCCGUGCCAGCAGCCGCGGUAAUUC
rnacentral:rRNA from 1 species